AUUGAACGCUGGCGGCAGGCUUAACACAUGCAAGUCGAGCGGAGAUGAGGUGCUUGCACCUUAUCUUAGCGGCGGACGGGUGAGUAAUGCUUAGGAAUCUGCCUAUUAGUGGGGGACAACAUUCCGAAAGGAAUGCUAAUACCGCAUACGUCCUACGGGAGAAAGCAGGGGAUCUUCGGACCUUGCGCUAAUAGAUGAGCCUAAGUCGGAUUAGCUAGUUGGUGGAGUAAAGGCCUACCAAGGCGACGAUCUGUAGCGGGUCUGAGAGGAUGAUCCGCCACACUGGGACUGAGACACGGCCCGGGCUCCUACGGGAGGCAGCAGUGGGGAAUAUUGGACAAUGGGGGGAACCCUGAUCCAGCCAUGCCGCGUGUGUGAAGAAGGCCUUAUGGUUGUAAAGCACUUUAAGCGAGGAGGAGGCUACUGAGACUAAUACUCUUGGAUAGUGGACGUUACUCGCAGAAUAAGCACCGGCUAACUCUGUGCCAGCCGCCGCCGUAAGAC
rnacentral:rRNA from 1 species